UAUGGAUAUCCACUCAAGAUCAGUCUAGAACAGUCUUCUUCAAAUUGAAUUUUCUUCUUAAAGAAAAUUCAGCCUGCUGAAUUUGAACGAAGCCUGGAUCACGAUCUACACUUGAUCUCUUUCUUUAAUCUUCUUCUUCUCUUCUUCUCUUGCUUUUCUUCCUUAUAUUAUGCUGCUACCAGUAGGUGGUAACCAGCAC
rnacentral:lncRNA from 1 species